GUGCCAGCCGCCGCGGUAAUACGUAGGCAGCAAGCGUUGUUCGGAAUUACUGGGCGUAAAGGGUGCGUAGGCGGCUUUUUAAGUUUGUCGUGAAAUCUCCCGGCUCAACCGGGAGGGUGCGGCGAAUACUGAGAAGCUAGAGUGUGGGAGAGGAAAGUGGAAUUCCUGGUGUAGCGGUGAAAUGCGUAGAUAUCAGGAGGAACACCGGUGGUGUAAACGGCUUUCUGGACCAUAACUGACGCUGAGGCACGAAAGCGUGGGUAGCAAACAGGAUUAGAUACCCUGGUAGUCCACGCCCUAAACGAUGCAUAUUUGGUGUGGGCCAUUCAUUUGGUCCGUGCCGGAGCUAACGCGUUAAAUAUGCCGCCUGGGGAGUACAGUCGCAAGGCUGAAACUCAAAUGAAUUGACGGGG
rnacentral:rRNA from 1 species